rnacentral:tRNA from 1 species
GAGAACCUAGUAAACACAUUAUAUGGUCUUGUCAGGACUAAGUCACAGGAACCUGUGGUUCUCA